UACUGAGGAGGCUGAGGCAGGAGGAUCGCUUGAACCCGGGAGACAGAGGUUGCAGUGAGCCACCACUGCACUCCAGCCUGGGUGACAGAAUGAGACUCCAUCUCAAAAUAAAAUAAAUAAAAUAAAAUGGUGAUUUGGAGUAUUGCUUCCCUGGGAAAAUGCUCAUGGCAUGUGUAUCCUUAGAGGAAAAAGCAAGUUGUAAGAGUGUGGAAACCAUAACCCCAUUUUGUUCAUUCAAAAAUUAUUUGCAUAGAAAAAUGACCAGAAAAUAGUUACAAAUUACAGUGUUGGCAACGAUGAUGCUGAGGAGGAACAGCAGGGGCCCAUGGAGAAGGACAGGGUGCAUACCACCAGGUAUGUGCCACCACUUUUGCCUGUGAUGCCAGGAAAGGGGGCAUCCCCAUUGCUAGGGGUCUGAAGACCUGGAGUGAGAGAGAGAAUGGCUGUGCCCAUGACUGGAGGCUCAGGGCUCUGAGAGGUGGAGUCAGGGGUCUGUGGGGGAGGCAGUGGGUGAUCUCUCAACCACGUGGCUUGUCCUUCCCACGCCUGCAGAGAAACACUGGUCACCCUGCCUUUGCCCCAGCUGGCUGCUCUCCUGGGAUGUGACCUUUCACGUUGGUGGCCAAACCUGUCCAUCCUUGACACUAGCUCAGACAUCCCCUCCUCCAGGAAGCCUCCUCAGAUGUCCCUGGCCAGGCAUUUGCCUUCCUUAGUCCUCUGGAUCCCUAGUCUAGGACCGAGUGCUUCCUGCCUCCUCACUGCCUCUGACUUCUCUGGGGGGUUGAUUUAACACAGCCACGGGGGCUCAUUUCCAUAACCCCAGCCUCUGCCACAGGAACCGAUAUAGGGUUGAGCUUUACAUCCUCUCGGUGGGCUCGUGACCCCCUCAACCACACCUUCCCUUUUCUCGGGUCUCUUUCAUGUAGUGUCUCAUCAACUCCUCACCAUAGCCCUAACGGAUGGGCAUCACUAUUCAUUCCCAUUCUACAGAUGCAGAAACUGAGCUUCAGGGAAGCUGAGGAGCUCACCCUGGAUCAUAUGGCCAGCAAGUGGCACAGUCAAGAUCCGAACCCAGCUGCCCCAACACGGCCGGAGCAUUGGGACUAAGGCAGACGUGAGUGCUAGGAUCGCAGUCACCAGCACUGCUACAGCGCCUUCCCUUUUAGUGCCUCCUGUCAAUGCUGAGAGGGGAUGUAGCUGAGUUGCUUGGAGCCUUCAUGUCGGACAUCCAGGUGGGCCUGGGGACAGCCUUGGAGCUCCCGGGCCACCUAUCUGGCCACCACCGGAUGGAGUGCCCAGAUGGGGCUUCUGCCAGCUGUCCAGGAGGCAGCCCAGGCUGGGACAUCCAAGCUGAGCCCUGAGCUGGCCUGGCCUGGCCCAGCCCGCACUGAUGAGGCAAUGAAACUGAGGACACCAGACUGGGCCAGGGACUUGCCCACGUCUCUCUGCCUCGCCCAGACAUGCCGCAGCAGCAGUGGCAAACUUCUGCUUGCCACCAGAAGCCAGCUGAGUCUUCCAGCUAGGGCAUGGCAUGUGACUGGACUCUGCCAAUCAGAGGCACCUGCUCUGGAGUUUGAAUUGGAGGCUUGUCCUGUCCAGGACUCUUUCUGGAGGGAGCCUGGGCCACAUGGAGUUCCUGGCAGCUGUGAAGAAGAAGGACUUCACCAGGCUGGCUCUGUGUGCCCACAACAGCUCCGCUGGGAACCCGCCAUCCUCCGAGAAGACAUUUUAGCAACAGAGGAGGCCAUUUUGCUUUGAGAAUCAGAACCAAACCCUGCAAGGCCAGGACAGGGAAAGUCUCAGGCAAGUCACGACUGUGGCCAGGGCUUGCUGAAGACAGAAGGGCAGGGGGCUGGUGGCGGGGGCAGGCGGCCUCUGAAUGGCUUUAAGAGGAAGCAGAGAUGGGGGCGUCAUGGCUGCACUGGGGAUGACACCCUCUCCCUCUAGCUGGGUGGCCUUGGGCAGGGCCUUUCCCUCUCCAAGCUUUUGAGUCCUCAGCCUGCAAUGGCGGACUCCAGCCCCCCUCACACCACCUUGCAGGUGAGUGAGAAAACCCAGCACCAGCACCUGGGUGUGCAGCGUGGGAGAUGUUUUAGGGAUUCCACCCCUUCUUGGAGCUUUUCUAUUUAAAACAAUUUUUUUUAACUUUUUGUAGAGAUGGGGGUCUCACUGUGUUGCCCAGGCUGUUCUUGAACUCCUUGAAGUUCAAGUGAUCCUCCCACCAUAGCCUCUCAAAGUGUUAGGAUUAUAGGCGGGAGCCACCGUGCCCAGCCCCUUCUUGGACCAUGUAGUGCUUCCUGGGUCCUUUUCCUCUUUAUUCUCCCUCCCCCUGCACCCCAGAACUGAUGUGGGGCUGAUCUGACCUUACUGACAGGGUGGGAGCCCGGGUGCCCUUCCUACCCUCCCCAAGGGGCUCUACGACCCUCCAGGACAGUCUUUGCCCAGGUGCCCUGAGGGCUCCUGGAAGCAGCAGUGAGAUGCACUCUGGAGUAGAUGGCUCCCUCUCUCAGCCUCCAGCCUUUGAGUCCACUGACAUGCAGCCACAGCCAUUCCCGGCUCCACACUUGGCCCUUCAGCAAGGCCUCCUCACCACACCCUGAGCCCGUUCAUCCCCUCCUCCCUGAGGCCACCGCCCGGGUCCGCACCUCCUCAUCUCCCACCUGGACCAUCCAUGGCAGAAACCUCCCAUCUGGUCUCCUGGCCCCUCCUCGAUGAUCCCAACUCUGCCCACACCACAGGUGAUCUCCUGAUCUCCUCUGGCGUGAAUCACACUGCUCUGCCCCCCAGCCCACCUGGCUUGCUGUCAGUGCAGGGUCUAGGCCCCUCACCCCUCCUUUACCCCCACCUCCCAGCCCCUCCCCAGUGUUCCAGCCCCACUGGCCUUCCUUUGCAUCUCCCGUGGUUGUGCCCCGCUCCUGCCCCAGGACCUUCGCACAUGCUGUCCCUCAGCCCUGCAAGAACCAUCUGCUGGAGGCGAGCAGAGGCUGCCUCCUUUGAACGGGACCUGUACCCUCCACUCCCCUACCGCUGCACCACACCAGUCCAUCAUCACACUUAUGAUGUCAUCUUCUCAGAGGCAACCCGUAAACCCCUUGGGGCCCAGAGGCCACGCCUCACUCGACAGCUCGGGAGAGCCGGGCACAGGGGCAGAAGCGACUUGCCGAGGUCGUGCAGUGACAUGGAGCCACAGCCUGGCUUCCUGACACCCCUUCUGCCUUACCAGGCUGAUGCACAGGUGGGGAAGCUGAGGCCCAGAGAGGAGGCAGUUCCUGGAAAGCAAGCGGGCCGAGUUCCUCACAGAGAUCAGAAGAGCAACAAGAUCUCCAGGCCAGGGCAGAGGUCCCCGCCCUGGAUGCUGAUGACACUUCCCCUGGGCGGGAGGGGCUGGGAGCAUGCAGAUCUCAGCCCUGAACAGCCUGUCCUCUCGCCUCGAGGUUCUUGGUAGGCUGGGAACAGCCUGUCCUGCUGAGCUUCCUGUCACCUCUCUAGCUGCCCACACGCCGCACAGCUGCCACCGCCGGCCCUGGCCCGGGAGAGGGGGGUCUCUGGGGAUCUUAGCAGGCCAUGGUGGGGGUGUCUUGGGGCCAGCCUGAACUGAAAGACCAUCACAGCUUGCAAGCCACCUCCCUGCUCUGUUGCUGGCUCUCCUUGAAGACAAGUGUUUUUCAAUUAACCAAAGCGGUGCAUGGCAAUGUGAUAAGGGAAUCAAACACAGAGCAACAGAAUCAAUGCCCCACACUGGGAAAUAGCCGACUUUCUGUUCCCUCCCAUCCCUUCCUUCCCUCCCCGCCUCCUUCCCCUACUCCUUCCAUUCCACAAACAUUUAUUGAGCACCUGCUGUGUGCCAGCCACUGUUCUAGGCCCUGAAGACACAGAAGUGAACAAAAAAAGGAGUCCCUAUGCACAUCCUGGAGGGACUUUCCCCGUGUGUGUGUCUAUACAGUGUAUGGAGACAGUGGAUAAUAAAAGCUGUUUAUCAGGC